UCCUGAAUUCAGCGGCGGACGGGUGAGUAAUGCCUAGGAAUCUGCCUGGUAGUGGGGGACAACGUUUCGAAAGGAACGCUAAUACCGCAUACGUCCUACGGGAGAAAGCAGGGGACCUUCGGGCCUUGCGCUAUCAGAUGAGCCUAGGUCGGAUUAGCUAGUUGGUGAGGUAAUGGCUCACCAAGGCGACGAUCCGUAACUGGUCUGAGAGGAUGAUCAGUCACACUGGAACUGAGACACGGUCCAGACUCCUACGGGAGGCAGCAGUGGGGAAUAUUGGACAAUGGGCGAAAGCCUGAUCCAGCCAUGCCGCGUGUGUGAAGAAGGUCUUCGGAUUGUAAAGCACUUUAAGUUGGGAGGAAGGGCAGUAACCUAAUACGUUGCCGUCUUGACGUUACCGACAGAAUAAGCACCGGC
rnacentral:rRNA from 1 species